UUAACUGGGGAAUAAGAAACUGAGUGAUGGGAUGGAUCUUGCUACUUCAAAUGUCAUCAUUAGUCUAUGGUGUGUAUGAGAAUGUUAAGUGGGUUAAGAAGCCAUAUAAAAUCAACAGCACAUACGUUUCCAAGAUGAUUGUGGUGGCUAACCCACUGCAUAGAGAAAAGGUAAAACAAAUGUGGGUGAUAUAGAAUGUUAUCCAGCUGAAAAUUCUGAAAGUAAUGUUAUUGGUUAUGACCUUGUGAGC
rnacentral:sRNA from 1 species